rnacentral:rRNA from 1 species
GAUGAACGCUGACAGAAUGCUUAACACAUGCAAGUCAACUUGAACUUCGGUUUGGGUGGCGGACGGGUGAGUAACGCGUAACGAACUUGCCUCACAGCUAGGGACAACAUUUGGAAACGAAUGCUAAUACCUGAUAUUAUGAUUUUAGGGCAUCCUAGAAUUAUGAAAGCUAUAUGCGCUGUGAGAGAGCUUUGCGUCCCAUUAGCUAGUUGGAGAGGUAACGGCUCACCAAGGCGAUGAUGGGUAGCCGGCCUGAGAGGGUGAACGGCCACAAGGGGACUGAGACACGGCCCUUACUCCUACGGGAGGCAGCAGUGGGGAAUAUUGGACAAUGGACCAAGAGUCUGAUCCAGCAAUUCUGUGUGCACGAUGAAGUUUUUCGGAAUGUAAAGUGCUUUCAGUUGGGAAGAAAAAAAUGACGGUACCAACAGAAGAAGUGACGGCUAAAUACGUG